GCAACCUCCUCCCCACCCUGUUCCCUCUACCGGUCCUCCACACAAUGCCACCGCUUCCCCCUCUCCCUCUCCAGUCCGCCACAACAUGUCCACUUACGCCUCCCCCGGUGGCUCCUCCUCCUCCCACUUCACCACCCUCAGCCUACCCCUCGCCAUCGCCGUCUCCCUCGGCCUCCUCGUCCUCCUUUCCGCCCUCCUCGUCGCCUCCUACGUCUGCUGUCGCCGCCAAUCCAGGGACCCCGACCCCGACCCCGGCCCCGGCCCCAGCCCUGCCAUCGCUGACGGCAUCGUCCUGCCACGCAUCAUCUUCGUCGCCGAGGACGACGAAGGAGACGGCGGCCGGGCCUCGGGGCUCGACCAGGCGGCCAUCAGCUCGUACCCUAAGUUCCCGUUCUCGGUGGCCAGUGGCGGGGAUACCGUCUGCUCGAUCUGUCUUUGCGAGUACCGGGAAGGGGAGAUGCUUCGGAUGAUACCCGACUGCCGCCACUACUUCCACCUCCUCUGCAUCGAUGUCUGGCUCCGGCUGAACGCGUCCUGCCCGGUCUGCCGAACCUCGCCGUUGCCCACGCCGGUGUCUACUCCAAUCUCGACGCCGUUGUCAGAGCUUGUCCCGCUCUCACUGUUCGCAGCUGAUCGCCGGAGGAGGAGUUAGGACUUCGCGGGAUAAUCGGAGAUAUGAGUUUGAAGAAGCAUAUGAGUAGCCAAAGGUGGACAAUAUAUCCCACUUCCUUUAUCCCCACAAUAUUUGGGUCUCUAUUAUCACCUUCAGUGGGAUCUAUAACACACUUUGUGAUAAAAAGGAACAUUGCUUCAAGUUUUCCUACAUUCUUGUCCUACAUAAUCUUUUCAAACCUAAACUACCGUAACAUGUGGUGGGAGUUAACAAGGAUACACACUACAUGGAGCAGACAUCUCAUCUGUCUUCGGUGGUAUACUCUUUAAACAUCUGUUACAUCAGAUUCCAAGACACUGGAAGAUUAUAAAUUGAAUUCUCAAUUUAGGGAAGAAUCUUAGACUGUCUUCUAAUAUUAAGCAAAAUAACUUCUUUUUUCUUUAGUAUUGGGUGGUUGUGCUUUCUAACAAGUUAGAAAUAGUUUGUAGACUUUGAUUGAAUAUCUAGCAUGCCUGUAUUUAAACAAGAAGCUGGAAGUUUCUUUUAAAUGUUGUGAAAUAUGUACGAUAGACCUUCCUCAUGCAACAA